rnacentral:snRNA from 1 species
GGGAGUCCGGAGACGUCGGCGGG